CCAAAAUUAUUAGUUUCCUCUCCGCGCUGCACCAAUGUGGCAGGUGCAAGUCGAAAACUUCUUUCCAAAAGCAAAGAAUUUUUGAGAAAAACAUGAUUAAAAGAUCACUCUCACGAGCUGCAUAGUGGAUGUUUCACUGCGGGCAAAUUCACACAUUAAUGACCCUUGAUUUCACUAAAUCCCUUUUUCUCCCCCAAAUGGUCUGUGUCUUACUUGUCCACUUUCCCAAAAUGGAGAAACAAAAGAAAAUGUUGCAUCAAUUGUGCAUCCUCUUCUUCCUAUCCCUACUUUUCUUGCAGACCCAUAUGAAACUUUGUGAUGGGCUGUCGAUUUCGAAGGUGAAUUUACUGAAAACUAAUGAAUUGGAUGCAAUGGUGAAAAGGGUUUGUGGAAGAAAGGUCAGUGAUUGCUUAGAAAGGGCAGAUGAAGAGGAUCAGAUGGAUUCUGAGAGUAAUAGAAGGAUUUUGGCGUUUCAUAAAAGGUUUAUAAGUUAUGAUACUUUGAAGAGGGAUACUGUGCCAUGUUCGAGGCCUGGGGCGUCGUAUUAUAACUGUAAAGGUGUGGUCAAUUCUUAUAGCAGAGGUUGUGAGCUCAUUACUAGGUGUGCGAGGGGAGAUUAAUUGCUUCAAAUCUUGGAUUUUGACAUUGAAAAGUGCAGCUGUAGGAAAACGCGAUGGUUUGCUGCAGAAGCUCAUGGGUGACCCGAUAAAGUUAUGCAUAAGCUGAUUCUGUUCAGGCUUAUAAUGUAGCCUUUAGUAACUGAAGAUAGUAGGAGCAACUUGCAGCAUUGUAGCUGAUAAUGGCAUAUGUAUUUCUACCCUGUAAUUCGUAUUAUUUAUUUCUGGGAACGUAUUGCUUGGCACUAUAAAGUUUUCAUCAAUUAGUCAUUUUUUUUCUUAUUCAUCAA